GUUACUUUGGUCGAGUGGUUAAGGCGUGUGCCUGCUAAGUACAUGGGGUUUCCCCGUGAGAGUUCAAAUCUCUCAGGCAAUG
rfam:Ipomoea nil DNA, scaffold: scaffold1525, cultivar: Tokyo-kokei standard.